GCCGGCCUAGCUCAAUUGGUAGAGCAACUGACUUGUAAUCAGUAGGUUGGGGGUUCAAGUCCUCUGGCCGGGA
rnacentral:tRNA from 1 species